UAGGGAAUCUUCCGCAAUGGACGCAAGUCUGACGGAGCAACGCCGCGUGAGUGAAGAAGGUUUUCGGAUCGUAAAACUCUGUUGUAAGAGAAGAACAAAUUGUAGAGUAACUGCUACAGUCUUGACGGUAUCUUACCAGAAAGCCACGGCUAACUACGUGCCAGCAGCCGCGGUAAUACGUAGGUGGCAAGCGUUGUCCGGAUUUAUUGGGCGUAAAGGGGGCGCAGGCUGCUUCUUAAGUCUGAUGUGAAAGCCCACGGCUUAACCGUGGAAGUGCAUUGGAAACUGGGAAGCUUGAGUACAGAAGAGGAAAGGGGAACUCCAUGUGUAGCGGUGGAAUGCGUAGAUAUAUGGAAGAACACCAGUGGCGAAAGCGACUUUCUGGUCUGUCACUGACGCUGAGGCCCGAAAGCGUGGGUAGCAAACAGG
rnacentral:rRNA from 1 species